rnacentral:misc_RNA from 1 species
AGGCUCUCAGCUUUGAAGAAUUGCAAAUGGGUUCCUUUUUUUCCUUGCUUGUUCUGUUUCUGACGAUUUCUCCUCCACAUUCAUGUUCACCAACGUCUCAAAACACUUUGAGCAUAGGCUUCUCCCUCUCUGUGGAGGAUCUAGAUCACUUGUUGAUUUCACCUAAAGGAAAAUUCUCCGCUGGUUUUUAUCCUGUUGGAAAUAAUGCUUACUGCUUUGCCAUAUGGUUCACCCAACCUUCAUGCUCUAGGGAUCGUGAUUGUGUUCUAGUAUGGAUGGCGAACCGUGACGUACCAGUUAAUGGGAGACUUUCAAAGCUAUCCCUACUCAAAACUGGUAAUCUUGUCCUCACUGAUGCUGGUCGAUCACCCGUUUGGUCAGUCACUAAUACUGCUUCGCUUUUUUCAUUGCGUCUGGAACUAUACGACUCAGGCAAUCUUGUUCUACACGACUUGAAUGGUAUUAUUUCAUGGCAAAGCUUUGAUUCACCCACAGAUACUCUCCUUCCCCAACAACUCUUCACCAGAAACACUCAGCUCAUUUCGUCAAGAAGCAGUUGGAACUUUUCUACGGGGUUUUACAAGUUCUAUUUCGACAACGAUAAUGUUCUCCGUCUUCUUUAUGAUGGGCCUGAGAUCUCAAGCGUUUUCUGGCCAGAUCCUGGGUCUUUGCCCUGGGAAGAGCAGAGAUCUACGUACAACAGCAGUAGAAUUGCCAUGCUCGAUUCCUUGGGUAAUUUUUCUUCUACUGAUAAUUUCACUUUUUUCUCUGCUGAUUACGGAGAGAAGCUCCAAAGAAGAUUGAAGCUUGAUUUCGACGGUAAUCUUCGCUUGUACAGUCGAGAAGAGGGAAAUGGGUCUUGGGUUAUUUCAUGGCAGCUCAGUUCUCAGCCAUGCAUUGUUCAUGGAAUUUGUGGACCCAAUAGUGUUUGUUCCUAUGAUCAUCGCUCUGGUAGGAUGUGUUCUUGCAUUCCAGGGCAUAACAUUGUAAACCAUACGGACUGGUCUUAUGGUUGUGAACCGGAAUUUAAACUUUCAUGUUCGAGUAGCGAUGCUAUUUUCCUUAAACUCCGUCAUGUUGAAUUUUAUGGGUAUGAUUUCGGUUUCUAUCCUAAUACCACCUUCGACGAAUGUAGAAACAAAUGCUUGCAGAGAUGCGAUUGCAAAGGAUUCCAAUUUAAAUUUAUCAAGCACGACCAUCCUAGUGAUAUUCCUUAUUGUUUCGCCAAGACGCUCUUGCUAAAUGGACAGCGUUCGCCCAACUUUGAAGGAGAUCUAUAUUUGAAAGUGCCUAAGGAAAGACAGCUCUCCGAUGACUGGACUGUUGACGAAUUCAACUCCUUUAUUUGUAACAGCACCCAUAAUGUUAUCGAGCUGGAAAGAAAGUACGUGAUAAAUCAUAAGGCUUGGUCUGUGAAGUUCUUGCUUUGGUUUGCAAUUGGGGUUGGAGUAUUCGAGAUUUUGGGCAUAAUUUUGGUGUGGGCUUUGUUGCUAAGAAACCAGUUGAACAGAGGCGAAAUCACACAAGGCUACGUUCAGGCCGCGACUGGUUUCAAAAGGUUUACCUAUGCAGCACUGAAGAAGGCAACACGAAAUUUCAAAGAAGAAAUUGGAAAAGGAGCGGGAGGAAUCGUGUAUAAAGGCAAAUUAUCAGAUGAUCGAGUUGCAGCAAUUAAGCGACUAAAUGAAGCUCACCAAGGAGAAGCUGAAUUUCUAGCAGAAGUAAGCACCAUUGGAAAGGUUAAUCACAUGAACCUAAUAGACAUGUGGGGAUAUUGUGCUGACGGGAAGCAUAGACUUUUGGUUUACGAGUACAUGGAGCAUGGAUCCUUAGCAGAAAACCUCUCUUCCAAAGCACUUGAUUGGAAGAAGAGAUUUGAAAUUGCCGUGGGCACUGCUAAAGGAUUGGCUUAUUUGCAUGAAGAAUGCUUAGAGUGGGUUCUGCACUGUGAUAUAAAGCCACAAAACAUUCUCUUGGGCUCGGAUUACCAGCCAAAGGUGUCAGACUUUGGUCUAUC